rnacentral:tRNA from 1 species
GGCGAGUGGGCAGGCUGGCUAUGCAGCGGAUUGCAAAUCCGUGGAGACCGGUUCGAUUCCGGUACUCGCCU